rnacentral:rRNA from 1 species
CCUACGGGAUGCAGCAGUGGGGAAUAUUGGGCAAUGGGCGCAAGCCUGACCCAGCAACGCCGCGUGAAGGAAGAAGGCUUUCGGGUUGUAAACUUCUUUUGUCAGGGACGAAGCAAGUGACGGUACCUGACGAAUCAGCCACGGCUAACUACGCGCCAGCAGCCGCGGUAAUACGUAGGGGGCAAGCGUAAUCCGGAUUUACUGGGUGUAAAGGGCGUGUAGGCGGGACUGCACGUCAGAUGUGAAAACCACGGGCUCAACCUGUGGCCUGCAUUUGAUACUGUAGUUCUUGAGUACUGGAGAGGCAGACGGAAUUCCUAGUGUAGCGGUGAAAUGCGUAGAUAUUAGGAGGAACACCAGUGGCGAAGGCGGUCUGCUGGACAGCAACUGACGCUGAGGCGCGAAAGCGUGGGGAGCAAACAGGAUUAGAUACCCGAGUAGUC